rnacentral:rRNA from 1 species
ACUCAAAGGAAUAGACGGGGGCCCGCACAAGCGGUGGAGCAUGUGGCUUAAUUCGAUGCAACGCGAAGAACCUUACCUGGCCUUGACAUGUACAUAGUAGAAGGGUGAAAGCCUGACGAGGUAGCAAUACCAGUGUACACAGGUGCUGCAUGGCUGUCGUCAGCUCGUGCCGUGAGGUGUUCGGUUAAGUCCGGUAACGAGCGCAACCCCUGUGAUCUGUUGCCACCUGGAGCAAUCCAGAGCACUCUGAUCAGACUGCCCUGCAUAACGGGGAGGAAGGUGGGGAUGACGUCAAGUCAGUAUGGUCCUUACGGCCAGGGCUGCACACGUGCUACAAUGGCCGGUACAGAGGGAAGCCAACCCGCGAGGGGGAGCCAAUCCCAGAAAACCGGCCUCAGUUCAGAUUGAAGGCUGCAACUCGCCUUCAUGAAGCUGGAAUCGCUAGUAAUGGCGCAUCAGCUACGGCGCCGUGAAUACGUUCCCGGGCCUUGCACACACCGCCCGU